GCGUUUAAAUAAAUCAAGAUGGGGGGGGCAAGUAAUUAUCUCUCUCAUUGAAAUAGGAUUAAGGCAAAACACUGAUGAGUCUGUCGGUAUCGACCAGUUAGCAUUUAUAAAUGCUGACUUUGAAUAUCUGUUGAGUCCUGAUAGGGUUUUAUGUGAAAUGGUCCCCAUUUGGCAUGUGUGAUUUAAUACCCGCCCCUCCAGCUGCUGGUGCAGUCUUAGCAACUGUGAAACCUUUGUGAUGUGGGACCUACCUGGUGAAACUAAGUCAUAAAAGGUGGGCCUCUGGUUCCGACCUCUGUGUUCUGCUUCUUGUUCCAGGCCCAAUGUGAGGCUCUUUACCACAUGUGCACACCCCCUUGCCCUCCCCACGGUGAUGAACUGAAAUCCUUCUGAAAUUAUGAGCCAGCACGUUUGUUUUUCCUCGCCAAGUUCCUCUGCCGGGGGCAUCUCCAGAGCGAUAACCAAAGUAGCUAAUGCUUCACUGGGUGCAUUUUGUUGUAAAAGGUUGGCCUUCUCACUUCCAUAUUUCAGAAUUUCAGGUAUGCUGAUACUAUCAAGAUGGAUGGAAGAUUCAGUCAUGAAAGACACAUUUGCAUCAGUUUGGAAAACUCAGAGGCCUCAGCGUGAGUCUCCUGGUUCUGAAUUUGAUCUGGGAGAGAACAAGAGAAAAGGAAGAAGUGUGGACUCCACUAAUGUCUGCCUCUCAACUUGAAAACAGAAACAUUCCUCUGAAAGCCACGUCAGCCUUCUCUAGCCGAGCAGGCAGCAGGUGAAACAAUUUGUGCCUCGAUUCCCACAGCCCCCAAACAGCAACUCCCAUUUAAUUUCUCUGCCGCUUUUUACAUUUUUAAAAUAAAAAAACAAACAAAACAUCCAGCUGUUCGAGUCAUUUUGCGCAUCCCCGGCCUUCUGCUGGAUGCUGGUAUGUGAUGACUUUUACUCAUCUUUCUGCCUGGAACUUCCGAUUAGUUAAGUGGCCUCAGGUGUCGAGUGCAAGAUGACCCACAGGCAAGGUUAAGUGAGUCCCAGAGACAAGAG